rnacentral:rRNA from 1 species
CAUGCACGUCUAAGUACAAACUAAAUGAUGGUGAAACUGCAAAUGGCUCAUUACAACGGUUAUGAUGUACCCGGGAGUUCCGAUGGAUAUUUCCAGUAACACUAGAACUAAUACAUGCUCCUGCGUUUAUUAGUUUCGCACAGUCCGUCGCUGAGUCAUGGUAAACAGUUGAUCGACUCGACGUCCCGGAACAGUUUCCGCCCCAUCAGCUUCGAUGGUUGGGUAUUGGCCCACCAUUGCAACAACGGGUAACGAGGAAUUAGGGUUUGAUUUCGGAGAGGGAGCCUGAGAAACGGCUACCACAUCUACGGAUGGCAGCAGGCGCGCAAAUUACCCAAUGCAGACUCUGUGAGGUAGUGACGAGAAAUAAUAAAGCGGGACUUCUGUUUCGCUAUUAUAAUGAGGAAUAACCAAAGGUCAUUCCGAUUAGCAACUGAUGGGAAAGUCUGGUGCCAGCAGCCGCGGUAAUACCAGCGUCAGUAGCAUAUAUUAAAAUUGUUGCAGUUAAAACGUCCGUAGUCUGUACGUCGUCCCAAACUCACUGCAGUCUUCCGUUUUCUUCAUUGAAUGCGGUAGUUUCUGCAGUCACUCCCUUGAUCAAAUUAGGUUGUUCAAGGUAGACCAAGUCUUCAUAUUUUCACAUGGAAUUGGGUGAGGGAACUUAAGGGUUUAAGUUUCUCGUCUUAGGAUCAUCCGGGGUCAUUCGUACUCGUCCGCGAGAGGUGAAAUUCUUGGACCGGACGAAGACGACCAGCAGCGAAAGCAUCUGUCAGGGAUGUUUUCUGCGACAA